rnacentral:rRNA from 1 species
UGCCAGCCGCCGCGGUAAUACUGAAGGUGCAAGCGUUAAUCGGAAUCACUGGGCGUAAAGCGCUCGUAGGUGGCUUUGUAAGUCAGAUGUGAAAGUCCACGGCUCAACCGUGGAAGUGCAUUUGAAACUGGGAGGCUUGAGUAUUGGAGGGGGUGGUGGAAUUCCCGGUGUAGAGGUGAAAUUCGUAGAUAUCGGGAGGAAUACCGGUGGCGAAGGCGACCACCUGGCCAAAUACUGACGCUGAGAUGCGAAAGCGUGGGGAGCAAACAGGAUUAGAUA